CAAUUGGGAAUUUUUCACAAUGGGCGAAGCCUGAUGGAGCAAUACCAUGUGAACGAUGAAGGUCUUUUUGAUUGUAAAGUUCUUUUAUGAGGGAUAAUAACUGAUAGUACCUCAUGAAUAACUGACAGCAAACUAUGUGCCAGCAGCUGCGGUAAUACAUAGGUCGCAAGCAUUAUUCGGAUUUAUUGGGCGUAAAGCAAGCACAGGCGGAUGUGUAAGUUCUGUGUUAAGAGUAGCUACUUAAUAG
rnacentral:rRNA from 1 species